rnacentral:rRNA from 1 species
GACGAACGCUGGCGGCGUGCCUAACACAUGCAAGUCGAGCGGAGAAACAAAAGAGCAGCUUGCUGCGAUUUGUUUCUUAGCGGCGGACGGGUGAGUAACGCGUGGGUAAUCUGCCUCAAACAGGGGGAUAACACAGGGAAACUUGUGCUAAUACCGCAUAAGACCCCACCAUGGCAGUCAUGGAGAGGUCAAAGGAAGAAAUUCCGGUUUGAGAUGAGCCCGCGUCUGAUUAGCUAGUUGGUGAGGUAACGGCUCACCAAGGCGACGAUCAGUAGCCGAACUGAGAGGUUGAUCGGCCACAUUGGGACUGAGACACGGCCCAGACUCCUACGGGAGGCAGCAGUGGGGAAUAUUGCACAAUGGGGGAAACCCUGAUGCAGCGACGCCGCGUGAAGGAAGAAGGCCCUCGGGUUGUAAACUUCUUUGACCAGGGACGAAGAAAGUGACGGUACCUGGAGAACAAGCCACGGCUAACUACGUGCCAGCAGCCGCGGUAAGGGU